CCUACGGGUGGCAGCAGUGGGGAAUAUUGCGCAAUGGGCGAAAGCCUGACGCAGUCACGCCGCGUGAGGGAUGAAGGUCUUCGGAUCGUAAACCUCUGUCAGCAGGGAAGAACGGUCACUGUGCUAAUCAGCAGUGAAUUGACGGUACCUGCAAAGGAAGCACCGGCUAACUCCGUGCCAGCAGCCGCGGUAAUACGGAGGGUGCGAGCGUUAAUCGGAAUUACUGGGCGUAAAGCGCUCGUAGGCGGUCUGUCAAGUCAAGGGUGAAAUCCCCGCGCUCAACGUGGGAACUGCCUUUGAAACUGGCAAACUGGAGUGUGUGAGAGGAUAGUGGAAUUCCUGGUGUAGGAGUGAAAUGCGUAGAUAUCUGGAGGAACAGCAGUGGCGAAGGCGACUAUCUGGCACAUAACUGACGCUGAGGAGCGAAAGCGUGGGUAGCAAACAGGAUUAGAUACCCUAGUAGUC
rnacentral:rRNA from 1 species